rnacentral:rRNA from 1 species
UUGGAGGGCAAGUCUGGUGCCAGCAGCCGCGGUAAUUCCAGCUCCAAUAGCGUAUAUUAAAGUUGUUGCAGUUAAAAAGCUCGUAGUUGAAUUUCGGGGUCAGCAGGUUGGUCGUGCCANUGGUAUGCACUGGCCUUGCUGAUUCCUCCCUCUUGAUGAGCCGUAAUGUCAUUAAUUUGGUGUUGCGGGGAAUCAGGACUGUUACUUUGAAAAAAUUAGAGUGUUUAAAGCAGGCAAGCGCUUGAAUACAUUAGCAUGGAAUAAUGAAAUAGGACGUUUGAUCCUAUUUUGUUGGUUUCUAGGAUUGACGUAAUGAUUAAUAGGGAUAGUUGGGGGCAUUAGUAUUCAAUUGUCAGAGGUGAAAUUCUUGGAUUUAUUGAAGACUAACUACUGCGAAAGCAUUUGCCAAGGAUGUUUUCAUUAAUCAAGAACGAAAGUUAGGGGAUCGAAGACGAUCAGAUACCGUCGUAGUCUUAACCAUAAACUAUGCCGACUAGGGAUCGGAUGAUGUUAAUUUUUUAAUGACUCAUUCGGCGCCUUACGGGAAAC